rnacentral:rRNA from 1 species
UACGGAGGGUGCAAGCGUUAUCCGGAAUCAUUGGGUUUAAAGGGUCCGCAGGCGGUCUUAUAAGUCAGUGGUGAAAUCUCUCAGCUUAACUGAGAAACUGCCAUUGAUACUGUAGGACUUGAAUUUGGUCGAAGUGGGCGGAAUAUGACAUGUAGCGGUGAAAUGCAUAGAUAUGUCAUAGAACACCGAUAGCGAAGGCAGCUCACUAGGCCAGUAUUGACGCUCAUGGACGAAAGCGUGGGGAGCAAACAGG